UUGACUUGACUUAUCCCAAAGCACAAACCUAAGACCCCAUUGCAGGUCCACGAUAUGUGCCAGUGAAUUCCACUUCUGCUAGUCAAUUCCCCAUGUUCUGAUGCCUCGCAUCCAAAGCAGGAGAGAGAGAGAGAGAGAGAGAGAGAGAGGAGAGAGAGAAGGAGAGAGGAGAGAGAGAGACAGAGAGACGGAGAGAGACAGAGAGACAGAGAGAGAGACAGAGAGGAGAGAGUGCCCAUGCCUAGCACAGUGCCUGGCACACAGUAGUUGCUCAAUCCGCAUUUAUUACUGUAUUUCUCUGCAGAGAAGCUUCCUACAUUCCUCUAUGGGCAUGCCAGAAGGCAGUCCCCCACCGUAUCCAAAUUUCUGUCUUUGAAGUUCAGGAUGAUGUCAAAUGUCCACCCCCAGUCCCAGUUGGUCACCUCUGGCCAGGGGAUGUAGUUUUCUAGCAGACAGCUUGUGGGAAAUGGUUUGUGGCAAUCCCCAAAUAGAGCUGUCUUUUGAUUAAUAGCAAACUAGAAGGAACUCCACCUGUUCCCAUGGCAUGAAACUUUCUUGCAGCUUUGCAGAUGCGUUAUCGAACAAUCUUUCUUCGGACAUCUCCAGGGACAAUGAGAGCACUGUUUCUCAAGAUCUUCUUGCUCCAUUUUUUAAAACACAUCUAAUUAUUAGGAAAUCCAUACAUGCAUCUGUCUGAAUUUUACCUUCAUUAGUCCAAACUCUGCCUUUCAGAGCCAUAAAGAGUAAGUUUCUCCCAUAUGACGACUCAAAAAAGUGAUUUGAAGAACAUGAUUAUGUUGCUUUGAAGUCUUUUCCUUGAGGUCAUCAAUAAAUGCUGUCCAUGAAUUCAUUAUAUUUAGGAUUGCCUCUUUCUGAUUUCUUUAAAAUGAUAGAAUCAGUAACUCAGUGGUGGAUGGAAGAUGGGCCUUGGAGACGUUAUACUGCAUGAUCUUUGUUCCCAUCCAAAUGAAAGACUUUAUGGGGGUGCUCAUGGUUUUAUUCAGCUUUCCUUUACAGACAGUGGGUGUUGGUCAGUGGUGACAUCUGUUUUGAGGAAUACAUGUUACCUGCUGGAAAUAAAUGGCUAAAGGAACUAAAACUUACCAACUGGUUCCUCUGGAGCAAGGAAGAUCUAAUUGGUAACCUCUGGCUAUUCUCGAGCCUAAUGGUAUAUUUAUUAACUCUAUCAGCCCCUUUAUAUCUUCUUGCUAUGGUUUGGCUGCUUCUCCACCCAAAUCACAUCUUGAAUUGUAGCUCCCAUAAUUCCCACAUGUUGUGGGAGGGACCUGGUGGGAGAU
rnacentral:lncRNA from 1 species